rnacentral:rRNA from 1 species
GACGAAGGGGGCUAGCGUUGUUCGGAAUUACUGGGCGUAAAGCGCGUGUAGGCGGUUGCCCAAGUCGGAUGUGAAAGCCUUGGGCUCAACUCAAGAAAUGCAUUCGGUACUGGGUGACUAGAGGACCGGAGAGGAUAGUGGAAUUCCCAGUGUAGUGGUGAAAUACGUAGAGAUUGGGAAGAACACCAGUGGCGAAGGCGGCUAUCUGGACGGUUUCUGACGCUAAGACGCGAAAGCGUGGGGAGCAAACAGG